rnacentral:rRNA from 1 species
GAAUCGUAACAAGGUCUCCGUUGGUGAACCAGCGGAGGGAUCAUUAUAGAGUUUUCUAAACUCCCAACCCAUGUGAACUUACCAUUGUUGCCUCGGCAGAAGCUGCUUGGCGCGCCUUACCUUGGAACGGCCUACCCUGUAGCGCCUUACCCUGGAACGGCUUACCCUGCAACGGCUGCCGGUGGACUACCAAACUCUUGUUAUUUUAUGGUUAUCUGAGCGUCUUAUUUUAAUAAGUCAAAACUUUCAACAACGGAUCUCUUGGUUCUGGCAUCGAUGAAGAACGCAGCGAAAUGCGAUAAGUAAUGUGAAUUGCAGAAUUCAGUGAAUCAUCGAAUCUUUGAACGCACAUUGCGCCCAUUAGUAUUCUAGUGGGCAUGCCUGUUCGAGCGUCAUUUCAACCCUUAAGCCUAGCUUAGUGUUGGGAGCCUACUGCUUUUGCUAGCUGUAGCUCCUGAAAUACAACGGCGGAUCUGCGAUAUCCUCUGAGCGUAGUAAUUUUUAUCUCGCUUUUGACUGGAGUUGCAGCGUCUUUAGCCGCUAAACCCCCCAAUUUUUAAUGGUUGACCUCGGAUCAGGUAGGAAUACCCGCUGAACUUAAGCAUAUCAAUAG